rnacentral:rRNA from 1 species
GACGAACGCUGGCGGCGUGCCUAAUACAUGCAAGUAGAACGCUGAAGAGAGGAGCUUGCUCUUCUUGGAUGAGUUGCGAACGGGUGAGUAACGCGUAGGUAACCUGCCUUUUAGCGGGGGAUAACUAUUGGAAACGAUAGCUAAUACCGCAUAACAAUGUAUGACCCAUGUCAUUUAUUUGAAAGGGGCAAAUGCUCCACUACAAGAUGGACCUGCGGUGUAUUAGCUAGUUGGUGAGGUAACGGCUCACCUAGGAGACGAUACAUAGCCGACCUUAGAGGGGGGACGGGCAAAAUGGGACGGAGAAACGGCCCAGGAUCCUAAGGGAAGCAGCAGGAGGGGAUCUUUGGACAUGGGGGGAAAGCUGAACGAGAAAAGCCGGGGGAGUGAAGAAGGUUUUCGGAUCGGAAAGAUCUGUUGUAAGGAAAGAAAGAGUGUGAGAGUGGAAUGUUCACACUGUGACGGUAGCUAACCAGAAAGGGACGGCUAACUACGUG